rnacentral:rRNA from 1 species
CGAUCGGUCACACUUGGAACUGAGAACACGGUCCAGACUUCUACGGAAGCAGCAGUGGAAUAUGCGCAAUGACGCAGCUGACGCAGCGACGCCGCGUGGGGGGAUGACGUCUUUCGGGUGUAAACCUCUUUCAGCAGGACGAAGCUAACGUGACGGUACCUGCAGAAGAAGCGCCGGCUAACUACGUGCCAGCAGCCGCGGUAAUACGUAGGGCGCAAGCGUUGUCCGGAAUUAUUGGGCGUAAAGAGCUCGUAGGCGGUUUGUCGCGUCUGUCGUGAAAGCCCACGGCUUAACUGUGGGUCUGCGGUGGAUACGGGCAGACUAGAGGCAGGUAGGGGAGAAUGGAAUUCCCGGUGUAGCGGUGAAAUGCGCAGAUAUCGGGAGGAACACCGGUGGCGAAGGCGGUUCUCUGGGCCUGUACUGACGCUGAGGAGCGAAAGCGUGGGGAGCGAACAGGAUUAGAUACCCUGGUAGUCCACGCCGUAAACGUUGGGCGCUAGGUGUGGGGUCCUUCCACGGAUUCCGCGCCGCAGCUAACGCAUUAAGCGCCCCGCCUGGGGAGUACGGCCGCAAGGCUAAAACUCAAAGGAAUUGACGGGGGCCCGCACAAGCGGCGGAGCAUGUUGCUUAAUUGGACGCAACGCGAAGAACCUUACCAAGGCUUGACAUCGCCGGAAAACUCGUGGAGACACGGGGUCCUUUUGGGCCGGUGACAGGUGGUGCAUGGCUGUCGUCAGCUCGUGUCGUGAGAUGUUGGGUUAAGUCCCGCAACGAGCGCAACCCUCGUUCCAUGUUGCCAGCACGUAAUGGUGGGGACUCAUGGGAGACCGCCGGGGUCAACUCGGAGGAAGGUGGGGAUGACGUCAAGUCAUCAUGCCCCUUAUGUCUUGGGCUGCAAACAUGCUACAAUGGCCGGUACAGAGGGCUGCGAUACCGUGAGGUGGAGCGAAUCCCUUAAAGCCGGUCUCAGUUCGGAUCGAAGUCUGCAACUCGACUUCGUGAAGUCGGAGUCGCUAGUAAUCGCAGAUCAGCAACGCUGCGGUGAAUACGUUCCCGGGCCUUGUACACACCGCCCGUCACGUCACGAAAGUCGGCAACACCCGAAGCCCGUGGCCCAACCAGUAAUGGGGGGAGCGUUCGAAU